rnacentral:misc_RNA from 1 species
UGACAGAUCAAGUGGAAAACAUCUGGAAACAGAUAAUCUUCUUUACUUUUCCCCCAUUCAGUUUCAGGAUAAGCCUUACAUUUAUUCUCUUCCUUUUUCUUUCUUAUCUUCUUUCCCAUUUUAAUUCACUCGUCUACGUCUUUGCAUCCCAAUUUGCGGAUAUCAUCUCAUCAAUUCCUCUUUCUUUCCCCCACCUAUUAAUACGUGCCAUACCUCUUCUCUUCUUCCUAUUCUCAUGUCGAUUGCCUUUCAGACUAGUGGGGAUUGCAUCUCUGUCCAGCGUUCUGCCUUUAUCCACCGGAUGCCUCCGUUUAUGGGGGCCUUUUCCGGAGAUCGUCGGUUUCCGGCUGCGGAGAGGAGGGAGGAUGAUUUGGAUGAUUCUUCUAGCUCGUUGUCGAUCGGGAGGAAUAGUGACCUGUCGGGUGGAGAGGAUUCCGGCCAGGAUUGUGAUGAGUCGGAGGUUCAGAGCUUGUAUAAGGGGCCGUUAGAUUCCAUGGUAGCUUUAGAAGAGGUUUUACCUAUCAAGAGAGGCAUAUCAAAGUUUUAUAAUGGCAAGUCGAAGUCGUUCACAAGUUUAGCAGAUGCAUCCUCUGCUUCCUCUAUUAAAGAUUUUGCAAAACCAGAAAAUCCCUAUAACAGGAAGCGCAAGAAUCAAUUAGCUCGCAACAAUUUCUGGGAUAAGAAUUGCAAUUAUCCCCCCAAAGAUGAUGCAAGUGGCAUAUCAAAAAGACCAGCAAACUCCAAUCGAAGUACAUCAAUCCUUUGCUCGACCAUGAACUGCUCUAAAAGCAAUAGUAAAAGGGAGGACUCUCAUCCAUUGUCAUCACUACCUUCUUGUCUUCCUCCCUUACAUCCGCAAGGAAAAUCAUCACUCAACAAUGAAUCAUGUUCUCCGCUACCUCAAAGGAGCUCUCAUUGGCGAUCAUUCUCCCUUUCUGAUCUACAAUGUGCUACUGCCGCAGCUCAUAAUAGCUGAUUUGACAAUUGUGGUGACAGCAUUGACAAUAUACUACAUUGACAUAUGGCUUUUGUUGGCUUCACACUAUGAGUCUGAAGUUGAAAAUAUUAGUGUUCAAGUGUUGAAGUUUGUUGCAGAUGACUUGAUGGUUCUGCUUCUGCGUUUUGUACUCACAGAGUUGGGCAUAGCAUAUAUGGGCAUUUUAAGAAGAUACACUGAGGUGCACUGCUUCACAUUUUGUCUGCUAUGGCUGUUAGAAAAUGUCUAGAUUGUUUCAUUGUAUUAUUACUAUCAUACAAGUACCUUGUCUUCUUUUCUAAAUGAGUAUUAACUAAUAAAUUACAUUUUAAAACAUG